GUUUACUYUACAAGGGAAAUGGUAACGUACCUUAGGCAAAGGGUUGCUUUAAUAUUCAUCAAGUUUGACCUCAAAUCAGGUAGGAUUACCCGCUGAACUUAAGCAUAUCAAUAAGCGGAGGAAAAGAAACCAACUGGGAUUACCUUAGUAACGGCGAGUGAAGCGGUAAAAGCUCAAAUUUGAAAUCUGGUACUUUCAGUGCCCGAGUUGUAAUUUGUAGAAUUYGUCUUUGAUUAGGUCCUGUCUAUGUUCCUUGGAACAGGACGUCAUAGAGGGUGAGAAUCCCGUUUGGCGAGGAUACCUUUUCUCUGUAAGACUUUUUCGAAGAGUCGAGUUGUUUGGGAAUGCAGCUCAAAGUGGGUGGUAAAUUCCAUCUAAAGCUAAAUAUUGGCGAGAGACCGAUAGCGAACAAGUACAGUGAUGGAAAGAUGAAAAGAACUUUGAAAAGAGAGUGAAAAAGUACGUGAAAUUGUUGAAAGGGAAGGGCAUUUGAUCAGACAUGGUGUUUUUUGCAUGCACUCGCCUCUCGUGGGCUUGGGCCUCUCAAAAAUUUCACUGGGCCAACAUCAAUUCUGGCAGCAGGAUAAAUCAUUAAGAAUGUAGCUACUUCGGUAGUGUUAUAGCUUUUUGGAAUACUGUUAGCCGGGAUGAGGACUGCGC
rnacentral:rRNA from 1 species